UUUCCGUAGGUGAACCUGCGGAAGGAUCAUUAUCGAAUUUCGAGGGGAAGGAAGAUGAGGAGUGGAGACUGUCGCUGGCUUUCCCGCCUGGGAAGCAUGUGCACGCCUUGCUUUUCGUUGACCUUUCUCUUACUCUCACACCUGUGCACCCAUUGUAGGUCCUCGAAAGAGGAUCUAUGUUUUUAUCAUCACACGCACCGUAUGUCCAUAGAAUGUAACCUGAUCGUCGAUCGACCUCGCGGUCGGGUGGCGGUCUAAAUAAAUAAAUACAACUUUCAGCAACGGAUCUCUUGGCUCUC
rnacentral:misc_RNA from 1 species